ensembl:lncRNA LINC01446 long intergenic non-protein coding RNA 1446
GACAGAAGAUGGCGGAUGAGCAGCGUGCAGGGUUUUCUCCCUGUGGCUCACUCUCUCUUACUGUGCUGGGCGGUUGCUUCCUCUCCUGCUGCCCUUGGGAGUCAGACUCCAGGUUCUUCAGCCUGUGGCCCCUGGGGCUCUCGGGCCUUGGAGGACUGACUAGGAGCACACGGUGGGCCUCUCUGGUUUGGGGGCCUGGGACGUGGCGGAGCCCUGCAGCUUCUGUGCGGCCUGUUCUGGGCGUCGCGUUGAAACGCCAGCCAGUUCCCCAAGUAAGCUCCCUGCACACACGCCUGAUAGCCUGUUGGUUCCGUCCUUCUGCGGGAUUUUCACUACCACUCUCUAACUCACACACAGCAGAAAGAGCAUACGGGAGAGAUGAAGCAGUCCACUCCAAGAACAUUCUCAUCCUACGGAUUACGAGUCCCCCUGGGAUUACAGGAGUGUUGAAGAAAUGUUGUGACACAUCAGAACACCGCGAAAUACAUGGACACUUUCAAAUCAUGGAAGACUCAAGAAGAAACUUUAAUUAGAAGGAAACAGGAAUAUUCAACGGACUCCCAAGACAAGAAUAUAGAUGUAUAUCAGAAGCUGAGCAUUGAAGUUGCUACUAGAGUCUCCCCGAGCCCUUAUUGGAUUCUCACUUCAGGAGCUGCUUUCAUUAUUUUGCCUCUCAGUUUCAAAAUAGACAAAGAACUCAACACUCAACAAUAAGAAAAUGAACAACUUGGUUGAAAAAUGGGCCAAAGACCUUAACAGACACCUCACCAAAGAUGAUAGACAGGUAGGAAAUAAACAUAUAAAAAGAUGCUGCACGUCAGAUGUCAUCAGAAAAGUGCAAUUAAAACAACAAUGAGACACCACUAUGCAUCUCCUAGAAUGACCAAAACCCAGAACACUGACACCAAAUACUCUUGAGGAUGUGGAGCAAUUCUCAUUGCUGAUGGGAAUGCAAAAUGGUACAGUCUUUUGGAAGACAGCUUGGAGGUUUCUUAUAAAGCUAAACUUGGAUUUACCAUACCAUCUACCAGCAGUGCUCCUUGGUAUUUACCCAGUGGAGCUGAAAAUGUAUGUCCCCACAGAAAAACAGGCACGUGGACGCUUACAGAAGUUUUACACAUAAUUUCCAAGACUUGGAAGCAACCAAGAUGUCCUUCAGUCGGUGAAUGGAAGAAUAAACUGUGGAACAAUCAGACCAUGGAAUAUUAUUCAGUGCUGAAUAGAAAUGAGCUAAGAAAGCCAUAAAAAAACAUGGAGGAAAAAAUGUUCAACACCAAGACUGAACCCUAAUGUAACCUGUGGACUUUGGAUGAUAAUGACGCAUCAAUGCAAGUCAUAAAUUUGGAAAAAUGUACCUCUCCUGGGAAGGAGUUGAUAAUGAGGUCAGGAGGGCAUCUUUCUCGGCUCUUCACUGUGAGAACCUUGUGGGAUUCCUGAAGAUGAAACCAUGAACGCGAGGGAGUCUUGCUAAAACUGCAGCAUUCGAGAGGUUUUCACUCAUGCUGGCUCACACUUGUCCUCUAGCAAUUCAUCAAAAUUACCACGACAAAGAAGACAGAAAAUACUACACACUACCCAGAGAUUGAAACUGAAGGUGUGAACAACAGAGAAAAGAGAGGGCAAAGAAAAGGAAAACAAAGAAGACGUGGGAUAUGAAAGGUGUAUGCCAUGUGUGGACAUCAAGAAAUGUUUCAGCUCGCACUUCUGCCACCAAUUGAGCCUGGAACCUCACUACUUGGAGUUGGGGGGAGGGCAGUGCUCAUUCAUCACCUGUGAAAAUAGGGAUUGAGAGUUCCCUAACUUUGCCAUUUUUCCUCAAGCACUGGCAUUGGUCUUCUGAAUGUCAGGCUCUGUAUAAGUGAGUCCUCAGCUGAGCCACAGGCUCUGCAUUCCUGGCAGUCCACACACUUCAUAUCCUUUGUUUAUGCUGCUCAUUUUGGAAUUCAAACAGGUUGGUGGGGCACAUUUCAACAGAUAAUGACACACACUGACUGCUCAUGAGCUAUUUUAUGGUGUGAGAAUGUUGUGAUGUUAUGAAAUGCGGAGGCAUUAAAACAUGGGGACAUUUUCUAGAAGAUCCUUAGCAGAGAGUACAGAAGACUAAGGUCCAAAUCUCUGAAAUGAUGUUUUCCAAAUUAUUGCACAGCUAUGUCAAAGUACCUUGAUCCAGUUAAUGUUAACAAAUAAAAAAUUAUGAAAUGUUAUUUUCUAGGUAUGGAUAGUAGUGGAUAGUAGUAGAUCUGUUGUGUAGUGGAGAUUACUUAGGAAGAAUAAAUUUCAACUUUACCAAGAAAGUACUACAUUAAUUGCAUUAGGGAAUUGUGAAUUGCAUUAGGAAAAUGCUCAUUCUUCUUUCAAUAGCCAAUAUCUGGAUACUAUACUCUCUUGAAUUUCUAAGAUUUGCAUCCAAUAUUCUAUAAUUAGCUUUCCAGUUUAUUGAAUGAUUUAAUUUACAUACAAAUAUUUUCUAAUAUAUUCCCUGUAAAAUAGUUUAAAAAAUUAAACGUUUCUCUAAUUACACAUUCCUCCCUAGCUGAUACAAUUUCAUUUAUUUGCUUACUUUCCCAGCUGGACAUUCAGAAAUUUUUUACUCAUAUUGUCUUCAAUUGCAUAUUUGCCAGUUUCUAGCUUUUAUUUUAUUUUUUAUAUCCAUUUUGUUCUAGGUGUGGAAAUUGCUAAGUGUAGAGCUUAAUAAUAUUUCACCAGAAAGAUAUGUGUCUAACUCCCUCAUGAAGAAAUAGUAUGUUACCAACACUCCCAAAUUUCCUUUGAUGUCAAAAAGCAUUAUUUUUCUCGAGUCUUUUUUUGUGUUGGUAUGAUAUAUAAACGAAAUCAUAUACACAUUUAUUUUUUCAUUUAGAUACUUUCCUUCAGUAUUAUGAUUGAGACAUUAACCUCAGUUUAAGUAUUUAUGUCAUUUUCAUUGCUAGUUCAUUGUAAGAAGCACACCUUUUAUUUAUCUAUUCCCUUAAUACAUAUUCCUGUUUCCAGUGUUAGAUUAAUGCAAAUAAGGCUAUCGUGAGCAUUCUUUUACAUGUUUUUCAGUGUACAAAUAUAUGCUGAGAGAGGAAUUACUGAAUCACAGAAAGCAGUAUAUGCAGCUAUAAUAGAUAUUACCAUAUCCACCAAACGUUUAGCAUUUCCUGUUUCAUUUUAUUCACUCUGGGGGAUGUAUAGAGAUUUCACAUUACAUUAUAAUUUAAUUUCUCUAAUGUCUAAUGAUGGGGAGCACCUUUUUCAUGUUUUUAUUGUCAAUUUGGCUAUCUUCUUUUUCUAAAUGCAUGUUCAAGUAUUUCAUCCAUUUUUAUUGGUCUUCUUUUUUUACUGGUUUAAUUGAAUUCUUUACAUAUUAUGGAUAUGAGCUCUUUGUCAAUUUUAUAUGUAUGCUUAUAUUCACUCCUACUUCACUCUGCAGCUUGCUUUUUAUUUUUAUGCUUUUAAUAAUGAACAUAAUUUCUUUAUUUUAAUAAAUAUCAUUAUUUUU